MUCUACAAUGGAUAAGACUUUGGUCUUAGUAUAAGUGUAGGCGAGUUUUUGAUUGGAAAGUAAAGGAGCAAUAACCAACACUCUUGAUAGAAUAAGAAAUUGGUUAUUGUUCCCUUAUUUAUUGCUCUACUUGAACAUAAGAAAAAGUUUUCUAGUYUUAGGGAUUGGUUUAUGAUUGCGUAUCAUACUUUUUUUUUCCUUAGAUAUUAAUUUCUAAUUWAUAUACMUUCUUUUCAACCCUUUGUAAGGCUUUGUGAUAUUAUUAUCUUCUAGUUUUUUUUUUCGAAUAAAAUAGAAAGGUUAGAAUUUUCUGCUUCUUCUAUCUCAWAAGUAAGARAAAAAAAUGUUAAAAAUUAACAAUCGAAAKGAAAUAUUUUCCAUUA
rnacentral:misc_RNA from 1 species